AUGAUUUCCGUAGAAAGAGCACAACAACCACAGAUCGUGAUGCCAGUCGCCCACUUGCCAAAACAAAAAAGUAUUGAAUUAAGCAAACCUUCACUUACCCAGAAGAAUGGAAAUUCCAGUUGGAGGAGCAAGGUGAACUCACCUCCAGUUGAAGCAGCAUUUGAACAGUUCACAAGGCAUCUUGUCACCGAGUGGGUAACAAAUCUUUGGUACUCCCGUAUAACACCUGAUAAGGACGGACCGGAGGAACUCAUCAGCAUAGUUAAUUCUGUCCUUGGAGAGAUUUCUAACUGGGGAAGAAGCAUUAACAUCAUCACUCUGUUAACCAGUAAGCUGCUUAGCUGCAAAGUAUCCAAGAUAAGUUUUGCUCCUCUUGAUGAUUGGAAGUUAGCAUUGCUCCUGUUAGAGCAACAGUAUACCAAAACAAGAUCCAACCGAGCUAAGGAUCUUGGCUUUGCAUCUAGGCUCUCUCUUGCUUUCCCAACAACUUCAGAAGAGAUUUCUGGAUCAGGUAUGGUGUAUUCAGUUAGCAUUAUGUCUAUGAGUGUAUCAGGUCUAGAGCCAAUGGAGAGAAGCAACAUCAUGAUGCUGCUAUAUCUUAGUGGUCUUUCUUUCACAAUGGUGAUCUGCUUCUUAUCUGUUCUAGAUGCAGAGCCUUUGGUAUAUGCAGCCGCACUCCCUUGCCGCCACCUGCUACUUCAAGUCCGCCGACGGCCACGUUGGAAACUAGGGCUUCUCCAUAGCCCGCCUCAAUUCUACCUCGCCCUCCUUGCUGUUUGGAUCGAGUGUGAAUGCGUGCUAUGUGACGCGUUGAGAGAAUAUGAUGGGAGGAGGAGACACAACACUCCACUCCACUUCCUAUUCUUGCCAUCACGUUGUUGCCACACUUGGGCUGGUUCUAUUGCGCAUGCUUCUUGCUAUUUGGAAUGCAUCGUUCUUAUUAUUUUUAGGAACAUAUUUUUGCAGGCCAGGAGGAAGCUUGAGAACUUGCUGCCCGAUCUCGCCAGGGCGAUGAGAUGGAGGCCUGCUCACUGCUGCUCCACUGUUCGCUACACUUUCAGGGCCUCAGGGAGCACCUCCUUACUGACGACCUCUUCCUCAACAAGCUCGUCGUGGAUAAAUAAAGAAAAAGACAGCAGAAUGGGCGCUUCCAACCUGGCACCGCACAUGCACUGUUCAAGAGGCGCGCCACGGGCGCGCCCCAUCCACUAG
rnacentral:rRNA from 1 species